GAUCAUACGUGCAUUCAGCUAUACUGCCUACAUUUCAUCGUAGAUGUUAUUGGUUACUACAGGAAAAGUUGCACGGACUUAAUCCUGAUAUUGUGCUGGUGCACUAUCUUAAUGUGCCCUAUCCAGAUAGUGCGAAGCUCAGCAUUCCAGUUCUCUCUUAUGGCUUUGAGAAGAAGGAAUGGACCAAAGAUGAGCUGGCUGAUCAGCUGAG
rnacentral:lncRNA from 1 species